rnacentral:rRNA from 1 species
UACGAAGGGGCUAGCGUUGUUCGGAUUCAUUGGGCGUAAAGGGUGCGUAGGUGGCGCGCUAAGUCAGGUGUGAAAUUUCGGAGCUUAACUCCGAAACUGCAUUCCAUACUGCGGUGCUUGAGGACUGGAGAGGAGACUGGAAUUCAUGGAUGUAGCAGUGAAAUGCGUAGAGAUCAAUGGAGGAAGACCCAGUGGCGAAGGCGGGUCU